AGACCCGAAACCCGGUGAUCUAGCCAUGGGCAGGUUGAAGGUUGGGUAACACUAACUGGAGGACCGAACCGACUAAUGUUGAAAAAUUAGCGGAUGACCUGUGGCUGGGGGUGAAAGGCCAAUCAAACCGGGAGAUAGCUGGUUCUCCCCGAAAGCUAUUUAGGUAGCGCCUCGUGAAUUCAUCUCCGGGGGUAGAGCACUGUUUCGGCCAGGGGGCCAUCCCGGCUUACCAAUCCGAUGCAAACUGCGAAUACCGGAGAAUGUUAUCACGGGAGACACACGGCGGGUGCUAACGUCCGUCGUGAAGAGGGAAACAACCCAGACCGCCAGCUAAGGUCCCAAAGUCAUGGUUAAGUGGGAAACGAUGUGGGAAGGCCCAGACAGCCAGGAUGUUGGCUUAGAAGCAGCCAUCAUUUAAAGAAAGCGUAAUAGCUCACUGGUCGAGUCGGCCUGCGCGGAAGAUGUAACGGGGCUAAACCAUGCACCGAAGCUGCGGCAGCGAACGUAUCACCCAAGACAACUUUACACAGUUGACGCCUGACGGAGCGAAGCGACGUCAAAGCGUUUUACAACGUCGAGUUGGCUUAGGGAUACGUUCGUUGGGU
rnacentral:rRNA from 1 species